CUGAGCUUCAAUGUCCCGGGAGGGGCGCGCAUCCCCCUCGCCCCCCAGCUCUCUUUUCCUGGGACGUCGCCUGAAUCCCGAGUUAAAGGUACAGCUCUCCCCAUCAUCCUCUCGGCUGGGACUGCAAGCACCUGCUGCGAUGCCCUGAUAGAAGCUGCUAAGCACAGCAACACCUCAGCCAGACGGGCGAGGAGGGAGGGUUUGCUUCUGCAGGCUGUGCGGGCUGCCACGCUGGGUACAGGGAAUGCAGCAAGAGAUGGCUGGAGUCACCAGCUUCUGCAAAUAAAAGCUGCUGAUUAUA